AAGAAUUUAAGUUAAAAAAAACUUUUAACCUUCAAAGUUAACAAUAGAAUUUAUUCCUAAUUCUU